rnacentral:lncRNA from 1 species
AGUUGGGUAUUUUGUAAUUACAAAUUUACAAAUUCUGUCUGGAUUGGAUAGAGCAAGGGCAAGGUGCUCAUUUUUACUGUUUGUUUUAAAUAAAUGAAACUAGAUAAGGGGGCAGUGAAGGAGGCUUAUUCUGGCUCUUUUCUCUCCAGGAAGAUUAAAAUAUGUAAAUUGCUCAGCUGCUUCUGAAGUGCUGCUAAAUGCAGUGAUUGUGGAGGGCAUGGCAUGUUUUGCACCAAUUAAACCAAUGGAUUACUUGUGUGAGCAUGCAGGCUGAGGAGUCAGUGUGGCCUCGUGGAUAGGAUUCUGGAUAAUGACUCAGGAGACAUGGAUUCUCUUCCUGGCCACGGACCUGCUCUGUUAUGAUAAAACUUGGGCUAGUCAUUUCGUGUUUGGAUUGUAAACUCUUUAGUGCAGGGGCUUAUUAGCCAAAUUACUGUGUGGUCAUCAAGAAAAACCUUUUUCCAAUUGUUUAUUCUUUUUUAUGCUUUGUCCACAGCGAGACAGAGUUGACAUUUACUGUGUCCUGGAGAAAGUAUUAAAUCAGGACACCGGGGGCCUAGAGAGUAGGCUACUGAACAAAAUAAUAACCCUGGCCUCAAACCACAUGAGAGAGACUCAGGAAGCAACAAAUGAACUAAAACUGGCACCUAGCAACACCUUAGUGACCCUGGCACGCUGCUAUUUCUAUGAGGUGAUGUACGAGCUGCAGUGUCAUCUGAAACUACUGGAGAAGUCUGAAGAGUAUAUUUUCAUUACGCUGGUCAACCUGUCAUCAGCUUAUGGUAUGGUAACUUCCAUCUUUUGUUUCAAAGUUACCAGAUGUUACCCAGAACCACCUGCGACAAUGUUUUUUGUCCCAUCAGGCACUGGGAUCUCAACCCAGAAUUCCAAUGGGCGCGGGAGACUGCGGGAACUAUGGGAUAGCUAUGGGAUAGCUACCCACAGUGCAACGCUCCAGAAAUCGAUGCUAGCCCUGGUACUUGGACGCACACCGCCGAAUUAAUGUGCUUAGUGUGGCCACAUACAUUCGACUUUAUACAAUCUGUUUCCCAAAUUCGAAUUAUAUAAAUUCGGAUUAAUCCCGUAGUGUAGACAUACCCUUAGUAACGCUACUCAGGCUGCCUGGUGCUUCUGCCCCUGGUUAUUAUUAACGCAGAUACGGCAGCCUGCUCGUUCA